rnacentral:rRNA from 1 species
GAUGAACGCUGGCGGCAUGCCUAAUACAUGCAAGUCGAGCGAACAGACGAGGAGCUUGCUCCUCUGACGUUAGCGGCGGACGGGUGAGUAACACGUGGAUAACCUACCUAUAAGACUGGGAUAACUUCGGGAAACCGGAGCUAAUACCGGAUAAUAUAUUGAACCGCAUGGUUCAAUAGUGAAAGACGGUUUUGCUGUCACUUAUAGAUGGAUCCGCGCCGCAUUAGCUAGUUGGUAAGGUAACGGCUUACCAAGGCGACGAUGCGUAGCCGACCUGAGAGGGUGAGCGGCCACACUGGAACUGACACCCGUCCCAGACUCCGACGGGAGGCACAAGGGGGGAAUCUUCGGCAAGGGGAGAAGGCCGGACGGAGCAGCCCCGCGGGAGGAAGGAAGGUUUUCGGAUCGAAAACCUCUGUUAUGGGGAAAAAAAAAAGGGUUAAGAAACUACGCACGUUUUGACGGUACCUAAUAAGAAAGCCACGGCAAACCACGUC